rnacentral:rRNA from 1 species
GACGAACGCUGGCGGCGUGCUUAACACAUGCAAGUCGAACGGAAAGGCCCUGCUUUUGUGGGGUGCUCGAGUGGCGAACGGGUGGGUAACACGUGGGUAACCUGCCCUUGACUUUGGGAUAACUUCAGGAAACUGGGGCUAAUACCGGAUAGGAGCUCCUGCUGCAUGGUGGGGGUUGGAAAGUUUCGGCGGUUGGGGAUGGACUCGCGGCUUAUCAGCUUGUUGGUGGGGUAGUGGCUUACCAAGGCUUUGACGGGUAGCCGGCCUGAGAGGGUGACCGGCCACAUUGGGACUGAGAUACGGCCCAGACUCCUACUGGAGGCAGCAGUGGGGAAUAUUGCACAAUGGGCGGAAGCCUGAUGCAGCAACGCCGCGUGCGGGAUGACGGCCUUCGGGUUGUAAACCGCUUUCGCCUGUGACGAAGCGUGAGUGACGGUAAUGGGUAGAGAAGCACCGGCUAACUACGUG